rnacentral:rRNA from 1 species
AUACGUAGGUGGCGAGCGUUGUCCGGAAUUACUGGGCGUAAAGGGCGCGUAGGCGGCCUGUCAAGUCAGAUGUGAAAUCCCCGGGCUUAACCCGGGAACUGCAUUUGAAACUGGCGGGCUUGAGGGCAGGAGAGGAAAGCGGAACUCCCAGUGUAGCGGUGAAAUGCGUAGAUAUUGGGAGGAACACCAGUGGCGAAGGCGACUUUCUGGACUGUGUCUGACGCUGAGGCGCGAAAGCCAGGGGAGUGAACGGGAUUAGAUACCCCGGUAAUCCUGGCCGUAAACGAUGGGUACUAGGUGUAGGAGGUAUCGACCCCCUCUGUGCCGGAGUUAACGCAAUAAGUACCCCGCCUGGGGAGUACGGCCGCAAGGUUGAA